AGACCGACUUUUUUGUUCUCUUUUUUCUUCCUCCUGCUUUCUAAACAGCCUCCUUCAUUCCCUCAGAUGACUGCCUCCUUAACUGCGGCUCUUCCUCCAACGCCACCUUCUUCAUCGGAGAUUUCAAUUCCGGCUCGGGUUUUGUCUUCAACAACAAAAUCCCACCUCCAAACUCACCCUCUCCUUACCACACAGCAAGAGGUCUCACCACUGCUUCAAGCUAUAGCUUAAGCAUCAGGAAAAUUGGAACUCACUUGCUUUGACGAUAUAAUGGAACCUGUGCUGAUUCGUGCAAUGGAAUCUUACAAAUGUCAUUAUAAGAUCAGAGUUCGAAUAUCAAGAUUGUGGAGAGCAAAAAGUACAAUACUGACAAAAAUGAUGGUCUGCAAUGCGUUUUGGUUGAUGAAAUGGGUGAUGCAGUUCAUGCAAUUGUAACUGAAUCUGAUUACCACUUGGUUCACAAAAAAUUGCAUCAAGGUAAAGUGUAUGAUAUUGAUCAUUUCUUUACACGAAAAAGCCAGGAGAGUUACAAAAUUGUUGAUCAUUAAGUGCAAGUGUACUUCAAUGCAAAGACUGUCUUUGAACCAGUUGAAGAAAGCUUCCCACCAAUUCCACAACAUCGGUUCUAUUUUGUAGAUUUUGACCAGCUGAGGGCACGCAUUAACAACAAUACAAUUCUCUCAGUCAGUUCUACCAGUGCAUCAAGCUCCUGUCAAGGAUAAAGAGGAAUCAAAAUGUGAAAUUUAUCUACAAAACUUAAGAAGAGAAGAUCUUAUAGUCACUCUCUGGGGUAACAUUGCCAGACAGUUUGACAUACAGAGCAUUAAAAAACUGUCUCCACCAGUGCUCAUAGUGUUGACCAGUUUAAAGAUUAAGGAGCUCAUGGGCUGCUGUUGCUGUUAAUGAGAAGCUCGAUUGCUGGUACCUCUGUCUUAACACAGUAGAAAGCACCGCAUUCUGAGACCUCGAUGAUCGAUUGGACCGGUUUCAAGUAUCGUUUGAAAGCCUUCUUUACUAUUCAUUUUGGGAAACUUUUAAACUUUUGAUUUUGUGAAAUUGAGCUCAUUUGAUCAAAUCGGAGGAUCCGAUUGAGCAAUCAGAGAUAUAUGAAAGACUCCAGUUCUAGGUGAUAGCUGAGAGAGUGAUUUAAAAUAGAAAAGAGAGCAGCAGGCGAAGGAACAGUGAUUUUGGGUGAUGUCACAUCGAUCUCCCAGUUUUGGUAGUUGAUCGAUAGACACAGAGAGAGGGUUCGAUCGAUAGACUAAAGGAGAGAGGGGUAGAGCACCAGUUUGAUCAUAGAGAUGGAAAGAGGCUUUAUCACCUGCUCGGGACAUCAACUUGAAGCUUGAGCAAGUGAAGGAAAGUACUACCUUUUAGGCAAUCUGGAGCAGGAAGCAAGGUGAUAUGACAACACCAGCUUAAACUAAGCAACAGCAACAUGAGAUGAAUAUCCCUACACAUCGUUUAUCAAUAUUGUAUACCUUUAAGUUUUAGGGUUUAUCAACUUUGAUUUGAAAUUAUUGAUUCUGGGGACAAAUUCGUGUGACAUAUCCUAAUUAUAAAGCUAAAGAAUUCAAAAGCUGUACCGACCGCAAAGGCUACGGCUACGUAAUUAUGAUAUAACAGAAAUCCCCGCGGCAAAGCGCGGGCGCUAUU